AUCGCUUCUUGGCCUCUGGCCUUUUCAGUUUAAUAUCUGAUACGUCCUCUAUAUAAGGACUACAUAUUAAAUUGAUUUUUAGAACAGGGAGACGGAAUAGGGGCUUGUUCCGCCCGCUCCACGCAUCGACCUGGUAUUGCAGUACCUCCGGGAACGGUACACCUCCU
ensembl:snRNA U2 U2 spliceosomal RNA